ACACACAUGUACCGAAGGAGCAGGCAGUGAGAGACAGAUAUAACAGUAACUGAGACAGUGAUUGGUCAAGAGGACAAUGACAGAUGCAGUGAUUGGUCAAGAGGACAGUAACAGUGACAGUGAUUGGUCAAGAGGACAGUAACAGUGACAGUGAUUGGUCAAGAGGACAGUGACAGAUGCAGUGAUUGGUCAAGAGGACAGUAACAGUGACAGUGAUUGGUCAAGAGGACAGUAACAGUGACAGUGAUUGGUCAAGAGGACAGUAACAGUGACAGUGAUUGGUCAAGAGGACAGUAACAGUGACAGUGAUUGGUCAAGAGGACAGUGACAGAUGCAGUGAUUGGUCAAGAGGACAGUAACAGUGACAGUGAUUGGUCAAGAGGACAGUAACAGUGACAGUGAUUGGUCAAGAGGACAGUAACAGUGACAGUGAUUGGUCAAGAGGACAGUAACAGUGACAGUGAUUGGUCAAGAGGACAGUAACAGUGACAGUGAUUGGUCAAGAGGACAGUAACAGUGACAGUGAUUGGUCAAGAGGACAGUAACAGUGACAGUGAUUGGUCAAGAGGACAGUAACAGUGACAGUGAUUGGUCAAGAGGACAGUAACAGUGACAGUGAUUGGUCAAGAGGACAGUGACAGAUGCAGUGAUUGGUCAAGAGGACAGUAACAGUGACAGUGAUUGGUCAAGAGGACAGUAACAGUGACAGUGAUUGGUCAAGAGGACAGUGACAGAUGCAGUGAUUGGUCAAGAGGACAGUAACAGUGACAGU